UACGAAGGGGGCUAGCGUUGUUCGGAAUUACUGGGCUUAAAGGGUGCGUAGGCGGCGCGGAAAGUUGGGUGUGAAAUCCCUCGGCUCAACCGAGGAACUGCGCCCAAUACUACCGUGCUUGAGGGAGAUAGAGGUGAGCGGAACUUAGGGUGGAGCGGUGAAAUGCGUUGAUAUCCUAAGGAACACCGGUGGCGAAAGCGGCUCACUGGAUCUCUUCUGACGCUGAGGCACGAAAGCUAGGGUAGCGAACGGG
rnacentral:rRNA from 1 species